CCUACGGGAGGCAGCAGUGGGGAAUUUUCCGCAAUGGGCGAAAGCCUGACGGAGCAACGCCGCGUGAGGGAUGAAGGCCUCUGGGCUGUAAACCUCUUUUAUCAAGGAAGAAGAUCUGACGGUACUUGAUGAAUAAGCCACGGCUAAUUCCGUGCCAGCAGCCGCGGUAAUACGGGAGUGGCAAGCGUUAUCCGGAAUUAUUGGGCGUAAAGCGUCCGCAGGCGGUCUUGUAAGUCUGUCGUUAAAGCGUGGAGCUUAACUCCAUUUCGGCGGUGGAAACUACAAGACUAGAGUGUGGUAGGGGCAGAGGGAAUUCCCGGUGUAGCGGUGAAAUGCGUAGAUAUCGGGAAGAACACCAGUGGCGAAGGCGCUCUGCUGGGCCAUAACUGACGCUCAUGGACGAAAGCUAGGGGAGCGAAAGGGAUUAGAUACCCCUGUAGUCCUAGCCGUAAACGAUGAACACUAGGUGUCGGGGGAAUCGACCCCCUCGGUGUCGUAGCUAACGCGUUAAGUGUUCCGCCUGGGGAGUACGCNCGCAGUGUGAACUACAAUAGUAAUUAGACGGCGUGAGACGUGCCGACGGACGACCGACGAGGGAGGUAGG
rnacentral:rRNA from 1 species